GACGAACGCUGGCGGCGUGCUUAACACAUGCAAGUCGAACGAAGUGGCGAACGGGUGAGUAAUAGGUGGGUAACCUGCCCACCUAUUUGGGAUAAGCCUUGGAAACGGGGUCUAAUACCGAAUCAAGGGGGCUGGGAUCGCGGCCUAUCAGCUUGUUGGUGGGGUGAUGGCCUACCAAGGCGGUGAAGGGUAGCCGGCCUGAGAGGGUGACCGCCCACAUUGGGACAGAGAUACGGCCCAGACCGCUACGGGAGGCAGCAGUGGGGGAUUUUGCACAAUGGUGGAAACCCUGAUGCAGCACCCCCGCGUGCGGGAUGACGUCCUUCGGGUUGUAAACCGCUUUCAGCUAUGACGCGGUAGUGGCAGAAGAAGCACCGGCUAACUACGUGCCAGCCGCCGCGGUAAUUC
rnacentral:rRNA from 1 species